AAUCAUAAAAAUGAAUCAACCCAUCCUGUGUGUUUCUUCUUCCUAUCACAUUUUAAGUAAAUAAAUAAAAAUAAUAAUAAUGAUGGUAAAUAAAAAAACAAUAUCAAAACACUCCAAAGUUACACGUCACAAAUUAGGUUUGCAGAGAGAGGGAGUAAAAUGGGAUAGGAAAUGAGAGAAGGAGAAAAACGGACCUCCACAACGGCGUGAGCGAGAGUACGAUGGCCUGAAUGAGAGUACGGUGGUGAAGGCCGUUAUCGGCGGCGGCAAGUGGUUGUCGGAAUGGUGGAGGUUGCGCCGGUGAGGAUGGUGUUACGGUGGAUGGAAAUCGGGUUAGGUUUUUCUGAAUCGAGAGAGGGUCGUGGGAGAUCGUCGUGGUCGUGGCUUGAAGAUGGAACGCAGAACGACGAUGCUCGAGUCGAAAGAUGAAGAGCGGAAGCGAAUCAAUUCCGAAAAGGUUUGAACAGACUUUGAUGGAAUGGAAAAGUGGCUGCUCCAAGCUUCAAGACAGCAUGUUUUUGCAACUAGGACCAAAGGAGUGUUUAACCACUUAGUCAAAAAAAAAUGUAAUUAUUUAGUCAAAAAUGUAAUUAUUUAGUUUAACAAUUAUAGCUCUGAGAUAUCUAACCUGUUUUUGCAGCAAAUUCCACUUAAUAAAAAAAAAUGUAAUUAUUUAGUUUAAUAAAAAAUUUUAAAGACAAAAUGUAUUUGGAUUA